rnacentral:rRNA from 1 species
CACUCCUGCGGGAGGCAGCAGUGGGGAAUUUUGGACAAUGGGCGAAAGCCUGAUCCAGCAAUGCCGCGUGCAGGAUGAAGGCCUUCGGGUUGUAAACUGCUUUUGUACGGAACGAAAAAGCUCCUUCUAAUACAGGGGGCCCAUGACGGUACCGUAAGAAUAAGCACCGGCUAACUACGUGCCAGCAGCCGCGGUAAUACGUAGGGUGCGAGCGUUAAUCGGAAUUACUGGGCGUAAAGCGUGCGCAGGCGGUUAUGUAAGACAGAUGUGAAAUCCCCGGGCUCAACCUGGGAACUGCAUUUGUGACUGCAUGGCUAGAGUACGGUAGAGGGGGAUGGAAUUCCGCGUGUAGCAGUGAAAUGCGUAGAUAUGCGGAGGAACACCGAUGGCGAAGGCAAUCCCCUGGACCUGUACUGACGCUCAUGCACGAAAGCGUGGGGAGCAAACAGGAUUAGAAACCCUAGUAGUCCCAUGAU